CUGUCACCCAGAGUCUCCCACAGGGAAACGGGGCCGAGGACUCCCCAGCGCUGAAGCCAGCUUCCUUCUGUCCACUUCUGCUCCCCACGCGGUCGCAGGACUGCUGGGUCCCCCACUUCUGUCCGGGCGCCGUGGUCUCCCCGGGGGGGCAGGUCGCCGCUGGAUCUCGUUAGUUUGGAAGCAGCGCUGCCCUAGCAUAGCCAUCAGCGCGCGGCGUCUGUCUCCAAGUCUGGGGCGAGGGCCACCCCGCUGCGACCCCCUCUGCUGCUGUGUCUCCCUCCCUCCCAGGCCCGGCGGGCCGCUUCCACUUCUGUGCGAAAGAGAAGCAAACGCAGCGCCCGGCCCUCGCCCCGGGUGUAAGCGCCGGGUCUCGCCGAGGGUCGGGGCGGUGCGAGCGGCUCCCCGCGUCCUCCCCGGCGCAGCCUCCCCAGACCCCGAUCUCCCGGGUCCGGAGCGCGAAUGGCAGAGCCAGGAAGCGAUGCUCCUCCAAAGUGAACCAAAGCUAUUCUCAGUGCCAAUAAGGCCCUGAGCUCCUCAGAGGAUGAAAACAGCCAAGUUCACCUGGAAAGCCAGCAUCACAAGCUCCGCCAAAACAACCAACAGCUCCUUACAGCUUCUACCAGCUCCCAACAGCCUCUCUCAGCUCCCAACAGCCUCCUCCUCCUUCUCCUCCUUCAUUUCUGCCUCUUAUGCUGCUGGCAACAGUCCUCAGGCAUUCAGAAUCAUGGAGGACACUGACAGCGCUCUGUCCAGGACUGCCCUCUGCACUGCAGAAGUCCCAGCACUCUUACCGUGCCCUCCCGAUGUUAGUCUAUAAUGUCCCUGUUAAAGUAACAGCCACAUCAUGAAUCCCACCCCUUCCCCCUUCCAACAUAAACUCUUUAAUUUGGUUUGUGCUGUGCUGAGACUCACUUGUUAAUCUAUGAGGAACAAUCCCAAAUCAGAAGUCAUAGGUAACUCAUCUGCACCUCACUAAGAUGUACUUCAGGUCUUUAGAGGCCUGGCUUCACAGAAAUUUUAAUAAAUUCCCAAUCCCGGAGGGUAGACCCUAAAAUAUCCUUAACAAGCUCUCUAUUUUUUCUUCACCUUUGAGAGAUACUCUCUUGUGGGAAAAAGGGGUCCAGAGGUCUGGUUGAUGGCCAUGGUGGAGGAGUGGGUCUGAGCAAACUCAGACUCGUCAUGUCCUCAGCAAACCGAGUCGCCUGC
rnacentral:lncRNA from 1 species